UACGAAGGAUCCAAGCGUUGUCCGGGUUUACUGGGUUUAAAGGGUGCGUAGGCGGACUAUUAAGUCAGUGGUGAAAUCUUGCAGCUUGACUGUAAAAUUGCCAUUGAAACUGAUAGUCUCGAAUAUAGUUGAGGUGGUUGGAAUGUAUCAUGUAGCGGUGAAAUGCUUAGAUAUGAUACAGAACACCGAUUGCGAAGGCAGAUCACUAAACUAUUAUUGACGCUGAGGCACGAAAGCGUGGGGAUCAAACAGG
rnacentral:rRNA from 1 species